UUGGUUAACAAAAUAUGAUCGUGUGCGACUGUGCUCGAUCGAUUGAGGCUGUCGCGUCGUUGUCUCCGUCGGAGCAACGUGCGUCCCUCGAAGUGCAGCACGUUCGACGCUCGUGUCGUGCGAACAAGGCCCAAAGAACUUUGUCCUUGCGAGCACGACGUCUGUCGUUCGUCCCUUUUCUAUUAUUAACCU
rnacentral:rRNA from 1 species